rnacentral:rRNA from 1 species
GUUGUCCGGAAUUACUGGGCGUAAAGAGCUCGUAGGUGGUUUGUCGCGUUGUUCGUGAAAUCUCACGGCUUAACUGUGAGCGUGCGGGCGAUACGGGCAGACUUGAGUACUGCAGGGGAGACUGGAAUUCCUGGUGUAGCGGUGGAAUGCGCAGAUAUCAGGAGGAACACCGGUGGCGAAGGCGGGUCUCUGGGCAGUAACUGACGCUGAGGAGCGAAAGCGUGGGGAGCGAACAGGAUUAGAUACCCUGGUAGUCCACGCCGUAAACGGUGGGUACUAGGUGUGGGUUUCCUUCCUUGGGAUCCGUGCCGUAGCUAACGCAUUAAGUACCCCGCCUGGGGAGUACGGCCGCAAGGCUAAAACUCAAAGAAAUUGACGGGGGCCCGCACAAGCGGCGGAGCAUGUGGAUUAAUUCGAUGCAACGCGAAGAACCUUACCUGGGUUUGACAUGCACAGGACGCCGGCAGAGAUGUCGGUUCCCUUGUGGCCUGUGUGCAGGUGGUGCAUGGCUGUCGUCAGCUCGUGUCGUGAGAUGUUGGGUUAAGUCCCGCAACGAGCGCAACCCUUGUCUCAUGUUGCCAGCGGGUAAUGCCGGGGACUCGUGAGGGACUGCCGGGGUCAACUCGGAGGAAGGUGGGGAUGACGUCAAGUCAUCAUGCCCCUUAUGUCCAGGGCUUCACACAUGCUACAAUGGCCGGUACAAAGGGCUGCGAUGCCGCGAGGUUAAGCGAAUCCUUUUAAAGCCGGUCUCAGUUCGGAUCGGGGUCUGCAACUCGACACCGUGAAGUCGGAGUC